GAAAGGACGGGUAAUACCGGAUACCCCGGGGUGCCGCAUGGCACCCCGGCUAAAGCCCCGACGGGAGGGGAUGGCUCCGCGGCCCAUCAGGUAGACGGCGGGGUGACGGCCCACCGUGCCGACAACGGGUAGCCGGGUUGAGAGACCGACCGGCCAGAUUGGGACUGAGACACGGCCCAGACUCCUACGGGAGGCAGCAGUGGGGAAUCUUGCGCAAUGGGGGGAACCCUGACGCAGCGACGCCGCGUGCGGGACGGAGGCCUUCGGGUCGCAAACCGCUUUCAGCAGGGAAGAGUCAAGACUGUACCUGCAGAAGAAGCCCCGGCUAACUACGUGCCAGCAGCCGCGGUAAUACGUAGGGGGCGAGCGUUAUCCGGAUUCAUUGGGCGUAAAGCGCGCGUAGGCGGCCCGGCAGGCCGGGGGUCGAAGCGGGGGGCUCAACCCCCCGAAGCCCCCGGAACCUCCGCGGCUUGGGUCCGGUAGGGGAGGGUGGAACACCCGGUGUAGCGGUGGAAUGCGCAGAUAUCGGGUGGAACACCGGUGGCGAAGGCGGCCCUCUGGGCCGAGACCGACGCUGAGGCGCGAAAGCUGGGGGAGCGAACAGGAUUAGAUACCCUGGUAGUCCCAGCCGUAAACGAUAACGCUAGGUGUGGGGGGACGAUCCCCCCGUGCC
rnacentral:rRNA from 1 species